rnacentral:rRNA from 1 species
ACGACUACACUCCUACGGGAGGCAGCAGUGGGGAAUUUUGCACAAUGGGCGAAAGCCUGAUGCAGCGACGCCGCGUGAGGGAUGACGGCCUUCGGGUUGUAAACCUCUUUCAGCACGGAAGAAGCGAAAGUGACGGUACGUGCAGAAGAAGCGCCGGCUAACUACGUGCCAGCAGCCGCGGUAAUACGUAGGGCGCAAGCGUUGUCCGGAAUUAUUGGGCGUAAAGAGCUCGUAGGCGGUUUGUCGCGUCUGCUGUGAAAGCCCGGGGCUUAACCCCGUGGUGUGCAGUGGGUACGGGCAGACUAGAGUGCAGUAGGGGAGACUGGAAUCCCUGGUGUAGCGGUGAAAUGCGCAGAUAUCAGGAGGAACACCGAUGGCGAAGGCAGGUCUCUGGGCUGUUACUGACGCUGAGGAGCGAAAGCAUGGGGAGCGAACAGGAUUAGAAACCCUUGUAGUCCACCAAUCC